rnacentral:rRNA from 1 species
ACGUAGGAGGCAAGCGUUAUCCGGAUUUAUUGGGCGUAAAGCGUGUGCAGGCGGUUUAGUAAGUUGGAUGUGAAAGCUCCCGGCUUAACUGGGAGAGGUCGUUCAAAACUGCUAGACUAGAGAAUGGGAGAGGGAGGUGGAAUUCCGGGUGUAGUGGUGAAAUGCGUAGAUAUCCGGAGGAACACCAGUGGCGAAAGCGGCCUCCUAGACCAUUUCUGACGCUCAGACACGAAAGCUAGGGGAGCAAACGGGAUUAGAGACCCCGGUAGUCCUAGCUGUAAACGAUGUAGACUUGGCGUUGGCGGAGUUAAAUCUGCCAGUGCCGAAGCUAACGCGUGAAGUCUACCGCCUGGGGACUACGACCGCAAGGUUA